rnacentral:tmRNA from 1 species
GGGGAUGACAGGCCUCGACGGGGAAUGCACUUUUACAAACGGUGAGAGACGGAUCUAUCCGGUGUCCCGCUCAGCGGGAUUGAAAAUAGUAAAAAACAACUGCUAAAUUCUCAAUGAAAGAAGCAAUGUCACCGAUCGCUGACGCUGUUAAGGAUAUGUUUGCUGCAAAGUACGCAUCAUCCUAUAACUUUGCAACUGUCUAAGUUGCAAUAGUCUUGCAGGAAGUGCUCUUUUCUCACAUUUUUCUCGGUUCAAUGUGAGAAAGGUUAACCAAUCGAGAUAGAGCAAACCUGGAUUUUCAGUUGCCGGGGGCGUUCGAAUAAAUUUCAACUGACAGUCAGACAACGUCUAUGUGUUUUGCGUACCUGACUGGAGUAAAGACACUUUAUCUCUCACUAAACGUUUGUAUACGGGUGUUUCUUCGGACCCCGGUUCAAUUCCGGGCAUCUCCACUC